GACGAACGCUGGCGGCGUGCUUAACACAUGCAAGUCGAACGGAAAGGCCCUGCUUUUGUGGGGUGCUCGAGUGGCGAACGGGUGAGUAACACGUGAGUAACCUGACCUUGACUUUGGGAUAACUUCAGGAAACUGGGGCUAAUACCGGAUAGGAGCUCCUGCUGCAUGGUGGGGGUUGGAAAGUUUCGGCGGUUGGGGAUGGACUCGCGGCUUAUCAGCUUGUUGGUGGGGUAGUGGCUUACCAAGGCUUUGACGGGUAGCCGGCCGGAGAGGGUGACCGGCCACAUUGGGACUGCGAUACGGCCCAGCAUCCUACGGGAGGCAGCAGUGGGGAAUAUUGCACCAUGGGCGGAAGCCUGAUGCAGCAGCGCCGCGUGCGGGAUGACGGCCUUCUGGUUGUAGACCGCUUUCGCCUGUGACGAAGCGUGAAUGACGGUAAUGGGUAAAGAAGCACCGGCUAACUACGUG
rnacentral:rRNA from 1 species